rnacentral:rRNA from 1 species
GUAAGGGGGCAAGCGUUGUUCGGGGUUUAUUGGGCGUAAAGGGCGAGUAGGCGGUUUGAGAAGUCUGGGUGUGAAAUACCUCAGCUCAACUGAGGGUACGCGCUGGAAACUUUCAGACUAGAGUCUAGGAGGGGGAGCUGGAAUUCCUGGUGUAGGGGUGAAAUCCGUAGAUAUCAGGAAGAACACCGGUGGCGAAGGCGAGCUCCUGGCCAUAGACUGACGCUGAGGCGCGAAAGCGUGGGGAGCGAACAGGAUUAGAUACCCUGGUAGUCCACGCUGUAAACGAUGUGCACUAGGUGUUGGAGGGUAGCCUUCAGUGCCGUAGCUAACGCGAUAAGUGCACCGCCUGGGGAGUAUGCUCGCAAGGGUA